CAUAAUGUUGUGAUAUUCAUAUAUUUUAGGUGUGACUUCCAAAUCAUUUUUGGGUUCCACUGGCUGUUGGAUUCAGGCAGGUGAAUAAUAAUCUCAAUAGGUUUUAUGCGGUUCCCGUUUGCAGAAGUUUCACGUCAUGCGGUGUAUGUGAUAUUACAGUAUGCUGUUCUGUGAUAGGCUGCAUGUGACAUAAACACAAACACACGUGACUGAGUGCAGUCUCACCUGAGUCUCCGCCGGGCACAGCGCGCGGAGCAGAGGCGGCAUACACAGCUAAAACACACGCGGCUGUCGCUCCCGUCAGCGUCCACGACGACAUUCCAGCCGUCUUCUAAAUUCUGAAGUUAGUGUUAGUUAUUUGAAAUCUUAUGCAUGUUACACGUUUGUUAGACGUGUCUCGAGACCCGUUCGUUUCGCGCGUCUAGUCUGCAAACGGCGCGCACUCAGAAUAUGCCGGUGAACUCAUCUUCAUUCUCGCACCAGUAAACGGAAGCUGUAUUAGCAAAUUUAAUAAUAACAGUAACUGCAGCUGGCAACUUGUGUGACCUGAUGUGGAACGUCAAAAGUAUCUUCGAUGUGGAUGUAGUACGAGACCCUUCAGCGCCUGACGGGUGGAAAGGUUACCCUCAUAAAAAUGUCAAGCCAGACUGAUCAUUAAUCCUCCACUAUCUAAAGGAGAUGCCUGGUGACUACAGCCAGUGCAGAGGAGAGAGCAGAAAACCACAGUAUUUUAAGAGCAAAGCCAUCAUGGUAACACUUCACAUAUUGACAUCUGCACAUAAAUUAAAUCACUCGGUGCAUCAGUGAAAACUGGAUUAGGUUUUCCUAAAUCACAGAUAAAUCCGCCACUCGUUGCAAUAUGUUUCAGCUCCAGCCUGUUGCUUACUAUCUGCUUACUUACUGUACACUGACAGUCUGUUUUAAUCUAAACCCAAGAGCCUAGCAAACAAGUGGAUUUUCAAUAAAGCCCUUUAAAAUCUGUAGAGAAAAAUCCCAUGAUCCUCUGUGUUAGCUACACAAAUAUGCACAGCAGUGAAAGGAUUCGGUCUGAAACAGAUUAAUUGCAGUGGUAAAUGUAGUGUGUACUAUGUAUUAAUGCAUGCUAUUUUAUUAAUAUACAGCUCUAUCAGACGAGCUUUUUACAAUUUCUGAGACAAGCAUGUAGUGAUAUUGUGAUCUUGUUUUUUUUUUUUGAAAACCAACACGAAACAAAAAGGUGAUCCUAGCGCACAUCAGACGACAAUUUUAAGGGGCAUUCAGGCCACCUUUGUCUUCUGUUUACCUCCUUGUGGUUUACAAAGCACUCCAAUUAAAAUCCCUGAGAUUAGGACAAUUGUGAUUAAUAUUGGUUGGUGGGGCCUGGAGUAUGAGAUGCAACAAAAGCAAGGGCUGCUUGAAAUUGCCUUGAGCAGAACACCUAAUGGCGGGUAAUUAAAAUAAGAGGAUUCAAUUUGGCCAAAGCAACAGGAACCUAAAGAUAAUGCAUGUAUCUAAAAUUGCAGUAGAUGCCACACUCUUGAUUCUGCUUCUAUCAUGUUUGUUAUGGCAUUUUUUCAAAUGACUUGUAGCCGAUUGCAAUAAACCCUUUAAUAAACACUAU